UCCAUCUUUCCCUUUUACCCCCUCCCUCAUUCAUCUCAUCUUCUUCUUCAGUUCUUCCUCCUCCUCCUCCACUUCUCUCGUACGAAGAAAAGCUUCAGAACUUGGGUUAAAAAUUCCUCGUAAUGAAAGAGCCAAGUAAUGAAGAUCUCUUCGAUCAAUUCUUUGAUGCUCCAGAUGAAUUUUCCUUCUCUGAUUGUAUCAAAGAUAUUGAAUCAGAACUAGUAGAGUCUGUUGGAUCAUCAAUUAUCUCCGAGGUUGAAUUCAAAGAAGGUAAAGCUAAUGAGAGUGUAAGCAAAAAACCAAAUACCCUAAGACCUUCUUUUCCCGAUGGAUUAAGACGUAGAUCACCAUCGUUUGAACUAGGUAAAAAAAUAGGUAGUAAUUUUGCUGAGGAUUUGAAUUCUAGAUCUCCUGUAGUUUCUGAAAUUGUCGAGGUUUCUGAAGAAAAAAUCAUUCCUAGAGUGAAAAAAAAUAAUAUUAAGGAGAAGAAGAAGAAGGCACGUGAAGUAUCUGAUCCUUCUGAAAUAAGCUCAGAUAAAACUAUUAAAGACAAUGGUGAAAGCAAAAGGAAUCAAGAGAAUUCUGUUGUUACUUCGGAAAAUGAGAAUUCUUCAUUAGUAAAUUUAAAUGAAUCUUCAUCAUCAAGUAUGUUGGUGUUUAUGGCGGAAUUGGUUAUUAAGGCAAUUAGCUUUCAACUUAAUUUAUGUUAUAGUUUUUUCACUUUUCCAAUUUGGUUAUUGUAUUGUUCUUUUUUGCUUACAACUAAUCCCAUUAGAACUAUAAAAGAUGGAAAAGAAUAUGUUACACAGAAAUUAUUUAGAAUAUGGAGUGUUUCAUGUGAGUUUGUUUCUCCAAUUUUGUCUGAACAAUUGAAGGGAAACAAAUCAUUCGGGAAGUUUUUAGGAAAGUUUGGUUGGGGAUUUUUCUGGUCGGUUUACGUUUGUACGAUAUUGUUUGGUUUAUUGGUAUCCGGAUUUGUGAUUGGUGGUAUAUUAAUGAGAUAUUUGGUUGAGGAACCAUUUCAGUUCACUGGAGUUUUGAACUUUGAUUAUACCAAGCCGAAACCUGUCGCCUUAGUACCUCUGAUGUCAUGUCCUAGUGCUUCUUGCGGUUUGAACUGCGAAGAAAAACCCGAGUCUGGAAGGUUCAUCGGUUCACGAGCUAUCCCUCCUAAUCACAAACUGCAGCUCACUGUAUCGUUAACACUGCCGGAGUCGGAUUACAAUAAGAAGCUUGGGGUCUUCCAGGUGAGGUUGGAGAUUUUAUCUGCAAGUGGUAGAGUCACGGACAGUUCUAGACAUACAAGCAUGCUGCGAUACAAAAGCCAGCUUAUUACAUAUCUAGAGACCUUUCUUAAGAGUGCUUCUCUGCUUGCUGGCUAUUCAUCAGAAGAACAAGUUCUUAAACUAAAAAUGAGAGGCUUUACUGAGGGGUAUGACCCAACCUCAUGCAUAAGAGUGAUCCUUGAACAACGAGCCGAAUAUAGACCUGGUGCUGGUGUACCAGAAAUUUAUGGUGCCUCUUUGGUGCUAGAGUCUGAGCUCCCUAUACUUAAGAGGAUCAUUUGGCAUUGGAAGAAAACGAUAUUGAUCUGGAUCAGUAUGGUGUUGUUUCUAAUGCAGUUUCUGAUGAUCUUAGUUUGCUGUAGACCUAUUAUUAUUCCAAGGAUAAGGCCAAGGUGUGGUUCUGCUAACAACAAUGGUUGUCGAAAUAAUCGAGCCCAGACUCGAGCCAGUUAAGACCAGAGGUUCCAGGUGAUCGGAACUUGGAUAUGACAUUGGUGGAACGUAAGUUAGUUUGAGACUUCAAGGGGUAAUCAAAUUUUCGUAAUGUGGGACGACAUCUGGUCUAGUUCAGACCUUGUCUAAUGUGUACCAGCGGCUGAAUAGUUUUACAAAGAGAAGAAUACUACGCACCUUGGUCUUUCGAUAAUUGGUGAACCUUGAAUAAAGCUUGCAGGUGUAACCUGUCACUCGGGUCUUUUCCAUUCUAAUUCUUGUUACCAAUAAUCCUUUUUGAGUUGGGCGUGCUCUUUUGAUGGAAAGGUUUUCACGAACUGUGAAGGACAUUCCAUAAUUGGUGAGCUUUUGUGCAGAUUAAAAAGCUUAGUCAGCUUAAUUAGUUAUAGCUGAGUUACUUGGGAAGCACAAUUGGUUCCAGAUCUGAAUUUAUUUGAUCAUCUUCUUCAAUGUUGCCAGUUUCCUGAUCUGCAUCAUCUGUAGUAUUUUCCUGGUGUGCAUCAUUGACAAUAUGGCAGUCAAUUUUUUGUUAUCCCACUGGUGCUAACUGUCAUUUGAACAUGAGCUCUUUAGAUUUUGAAAGAUCAUCUAGGGUGUAGUAGAGCGGGUCUCAACAAACUCUUGCAAUGAUCAAUAUCAAGCUAAUUGUUGAAGAUUCCUUGCCAUGGAGUCGUGAGGAGAGGUAUCUUAUUUUCUGAGACCAUUGCGUAUUUAUCACUUUUAGGCUUCUUUUAGGCUUUUGAAAAUCUUAGUGGAGUGACACCGCCUUUCCAUAUAGUUUCGAGGAUUAUUAGAAGAUAAUCUAAAGAUUCUAAAUUCAUUCCUCAUUUGGAGAAAGAGACAUCUUAACUUCAUCGAGGGAGCUGCAAAUGAUGAUAUCUUUUCUAAGCUGAAUACAGAAUACAAUUUGCUGCACUGAGUGUUCUAGAUUUGGUACCCUCUUUAUAGAGGCGGAUGUGAAUAACUUGGUAUAUUUUGCAAUUAUUUAUCUUCAACGGUUUCAGUUUGUCGAUGUAUCUACUGGUAUUUGUCUAUGGAAAAUUUCUUUUAGUUUCU